UGCAUUCGCACAAACGACAGCCAACAGUGCAACUCCCACUAGGCCCCAACGAAAGGCCUGCAUUUUGACGACAAUUGUUUGAUGGGAUAAUGGUCUUUAUUUUAGAGGUUCUUGACGUCGUCGUCAAAGAACGCCUUAUUUCCGAAUGAAACACCAGCAAACUAAAAUGAGAUCGAAAGGUGAAAACGAAAUUACACAUGCAAUCGCAACCCAAUAUCGGGAGGAAUGGGAUUUCCAGAGACUGUUGAAAAUAAGCACUCACCGCUAUAAUAAAUAUAAAUGUAUUUUAAAUAUUAUUAUUGAAGAAAGUUCAAAGUCCUUUUAAUGGAAAAAUUCUUGGUAAACAGAAACGCAAAAAUAUAUAUGAGUGUGUAUGUGUGUGUACAUAUGGGGGUGGAGUAGCUGUCGAGUGCAACCCGGUGUAAAGACCAUUUUUAACCACCAGCUAGCUUCACUUGCUGCAUCAACGUUGCCAUCAUCAACAUCACUGGAUGGGAUCUCAAAAUGUUUUCUAUUUUUACGAUCGAUGUUUUAAAACAAAAACUUUGAAAAUAAACAGCGUUGUGGGAAAAGAA